GUCUGCAGGGACGUCACGGAGACUACGUCCAGGUUUUAGACAGUCUGCGAGGACGUCUCAGAGACUACGUCCAGGUUUUAGACAGUCUGCGGGGACGUCUCAGAGACUACGUCCAGGUUUCAGACAGUCUUUGGCUCUUAAAACUGUAAAUCGAGUGUUUAGCAAACCAGACACUCGGAGCUGAGAACAACGUGUUUUUCUUUUCUAAUCAUUCUCUUGUAAAGUUUCUUCUCCCUGAAGUUUGAAACAUGAAACCACUUUGAAAACAAACAAACUUAUGAAAAAUGAAUAUAGUCGUCUCUGUCACCAUUUAGCAGCUGAGGACGUCGUCGCUGCUGCGUAACGCGAUCAGAAAAAUGUCACAUUAUUACACAAACUCUGCGUUUAAAGAAGUCAUAAAUAAUUCUAUCUACACUUUCCUAUAAUACAGAUUUUACAGUAUGGGUCAGAAUAAUCAGCAGUAAAUGCAAUAAUGUGUUUAAAUUAAAUUAUUACAUUAAUCAGGAGUCAUGACGUCUCCAGCUGCUAAACGCCUCGUUACAGUCGAAUCUUCUCGUUGGGUUCGGACCUCUGUUCCACCAGGAGGGAAAUAAAGGGAACACUGAAAACUUCCCAGAAAGCUUCAGAGUAGCUUCAUACUGAAGAGUCGACCCGAUCCACGCAGAGACGACGGGACAACAACUCUCUGAAACCAUCAAACAUCACGCUCACACGAAGACGCCGUCUCCGUUCUUCAAACCAAUCAGCUUCCUCCUUUCCUGGACCAUGUGCUACGUGUUAGCUCGUCUUUGCAUCUGUGGUCACAUAUUAGCUGAUUAAUUAAAAUCAAUCGUUAGUCAACCUACGCCUAAAGAUGAGCUAGCAUGUAGCAUGAAAAAGAAAUACAAGAAAGGAGGAAGUUGGCCGAGGCUUGCUCAGCUGUGAUUGGAGCAGAGCAGAAAAGGGGUGGGACUUAUGAAGGGUCAAUCAUGAGAAUGAAACCAAAGAAGUUUUUAGGUUCAAAUCUUCUCAAUCCGUGAAGACGCUGCUUCAAACAAAGACUCUUCAAACGGUGUCUGCUGGUUCCCUUCAGUGGGCGGAUGGACGGACGA